rnacentral:rRNA from 1 species
GGCGAACGGGUGAGUAACACGUGAGCAACCUGCCCCAAGCUUUGGGAUAACCCUCGGAAACGGGGGCUAAUACCGAAUAGGACUGCUGGCCGCAUGGCUGGUGGUGGAAAGUUUUUCGGCUUGGGAUGGGCUCGCGGCCUAUCAGCUUGUUGGUGGGGUGAUGGCCUACCAAGGCGACGACGGGUAGCCGGCCUGAGAGGGCGACCGGCCACACUGGGACUGAGACACGGCCCAGACUCCUACGGGAGGCAGCAGUGGGGAAUAUUGCACAAUGGGCGGAAGCCUGAUGCAGCGACGCCGCGUGAGGGAUGACGGCCUUCGGGUUGUAAACCUCUUUCAGCAGGGACGAAGCGAGAGUGACGGUACCUGCAGAAGAAGCACCGGCCAACUACGUGCCAGCAGCCGCGGUAAGACGUAGGGUGCGAGCGUUGUCCGGAUUUAUUGGGCGUAAAGAGCUCGUAGGCGGCUUGUCGCGUCGACCGUGAAAACUUGGGGCUCAACCCCAAGCCUGCGGUCGAUACGGGCAGGCUAGAGUUCGGUAGGGGAGACUGGAAUUCCUGGUGUAGCGGUGAAAUGCGCAGAUAUCAGGAGGAACACCGGUGGCGAAGGCGGGUCUCUGGGCCGAUACUGACGCUGAGGAG